AUUGAAACUUUGUCAUUCAUAAACACCUGUCCCCUUUCAACCCUCUGCAAAUCUGCUUUGAACUUGUUAAAAUUCAAGAAAAAAAACCAACGAUUUUGGGACAUUACAUUGAUCCAGUUUGGAUCUAGAAAGGGGAAUGGUGAUGAUUAGUGAACAAAUCGUAUCUUGCAGAGCUACGACAACAAGUUCUCAAAGCAGUGAUUGGUUCAUCCCAUUACACUUAGAUGAUAGUGGUGACACAAAUCACCAACAAUUACAACGAAUCCAACAAUGGAGGAAUUAUGGGGCGAGGUUGAGGUUGAGGGAGACGAUCUUUCAGUUAUUAACUUUGCUUCCUGUACCCUGUUCGUAGUAUACCUUUUAGAUCGAUGUACCAUGUUCAAUUAUUGAUUUUUAGUAUGUUUUCUUUGCUUCGAUUUAAAAUUCAAAGAUUUGGGUUUGUGAUUUUUGUAAUCUGUGUUCAAAUUAAUUUUUAAUGUAUUCAUAGCAAAUAACCCUCCAAUCCAUAUUCAUCACUUUCUUUCA